UUAAUGAGAGUUUGAUCCUGGCUCAGGACGAACGCUGGCGGCGUGCCUAAUACAUGCAAGUAGAACGCUGAGGUUUGGUGUUUACACUAGACUGAUGAGUUGCGAACGGGUGAGUAACGCGUAGGUAACCUGCCUCAUAGCGGGGGAUAACUAUUGGAAACGAUAGCUAAUACCGCAUAAGAGUAAUUAACACAUGUUAGUUAUUUAAAAGGAGCAAUUGCUUCACUGUGAGAUGGACCUGCGUUGUAUUAGCUAGUUGGUGAGGUAAAGGCUCACCAAGGCGACGAUACAUAGCCGACCUGAGAGGGUGAUCGGCCACACUGGGACUGAGACACGGCCCAGACUCCUACGGGAGGCAGCAGUAGGGAAUCUUCGGCAAUGGACGGAAGUCUGACCGAGCAACGCCGCGUGAGUGAAGAAGGUUUUCGGAUCGUAAAGCUCUGUUGUUAGAGAAGAACGUUGGUAGGAGUGGAAAAUCUACCAAGUGACGGUAACUAACCAGAAAGGGACGGCUAACUACGUGCCAGCAGCCGCGGUAAUACGUAGGU
rnacentral:rRNA from 1 species